rnacentral:rRNA from 1 species
AACGAACGCUGGCGGCAGGCCUAACACAUGCAAGUCGAGCGAGGACUUCGGUCCUAGCGGCGGACGGGUGAGUAACGCGUAGGAACGUGCCCUUUGCUACGGAAUAGCCCCGGGAAACUGGGAGUAAUACCGUAUGUGCCCGAGAGGGGAAAGAUUUAUCGGCAAAGGAUCGGCCCGCGUUGGAUUAGGUAGUUGGUGGGGUAAUGGCCUACCAAGCCGACGAUCCAUAGCUGGUUUGAGAGGAUGAUCAGCCACACUGGGACUGAGACACGGCCCAGACUCCUACGGGAGGCAGCAGUGGGGAAUCUUAGACAAUGGGGGAAACCCUGAUCUAGCCAUGCCGCGUGAGCGAUGAAGGCCUUAGGGUUGUAAAGCUCUUUCAGUGGGGAAGAUAAUGACGGUAUCCGGAGAAGAAGCCCCGGCUAACUUCGUGCCAGCCGCCGCCGUAACAC